CCUUCUUUUUCGCGCUUUCCUCGGAAUUACUGGGCGUAAAGCGUGCGCAGGCGGUGAUGUAAGACAGGUGUGAAAUCCCGGGGCUCAACCUCGGAACUGCAUUUGUGACUGCAUCGCUGGAGUGCGGCAGAGGGGGAUGGAAUUCCGCGUGUAGCAGUGAAAUGCGUAGAUAUGCGGAGGAACACCGAUGGCGAAGGCAAUCCCCUGGGCCUGCACUGACGCUCAUGCACGAAAGCGUGGGGAGCAAACAGGA
rnacentral:rRNA from 1 species